GAUGAACGCUAGCGGCAGGCUUAAUACAUGCAAGUCGAGGGGCAGCACGGGUAGCAAUACUUGGUGGCGACCGGCGCACGGGUGCGUAACACGUAUACAAUCUACCUAUAACAGGGGGAUAGCCUUUCGAAAGAGAGAUUAAUACCCCGUAACACACGAAACGGCAUCGUUUUUUGUUGAAAGUUCCGACGGUUAUAGAUGAGUAUGCGUCUGAUUAGCUAGUUGGUAGUGUAAUGGACUACCAAGGCGACGAUCAGUAGGGGAUCUGAGAGGACUCCCCCCAACACUAGUACUGAGACACGGACCAGACUCCUACGGGAGGCAGCAGUAAGGAAUAUUGGACAAUGGUGGCAACACUGAUCCAGCCAUGCCGCGUGCAGGAGGACGGCCCUAUGGGUUGUAAACUGCUUUUGUACCAGAGAAAACCUAUCUACAUGUAGAUAGCUGAUAGUAUGGUAAGAAUAAGCAUCGGCUAACUUCGUGCCAGCCGCCGCCGUAACAC
rnacentral:rRNA from 1 species